rnacentral:rRNA from 1 species
GAUGAACGCUGGCGGCGUGCCUAAUACAUGCAAGUCGAGCGAAUGGAUUAAGAGCUUGCUCUUAUGAAGUUAGCGGCGGACGGGUGAGUAACACGUGGGUAACCUGCCCAUAAGACUGGGAUAACUCCGGGAAACCGGGGCUAAUACCGGAUAACAUUUUGAACCGCAUGGUUCGAAAUUGAAAGGCGGCUUCGGCUGUCACUUAUGGAUGGACCCGCGUCGGCAUUAGCUAGUUGGUGAGGUAACGGCUCACCAAGGCAACGAUGCGUAGCCGGCGUGGGAGGGUGAUCGGCCACACUGGGAGUGAGACACGGCCCAGACUCCUACGGGAGGCAGCAGUAGGGAAUCUUCCGCAAUGGACGAAAGUCUGAAGGAGCAACGCCGCGUGAGUAAUGAAGGCUUUCGGGUCGUAAAACUCUGUUGUUAGGGAGGAACAAGUGCUAGUUGAAUAAGCUGGCACCUUGACGGUACCUAACCAGAAAGCCACGGCUAACUACGUGCCAGCCGCCGCGGUAA